rnacentral:rRNA from 1 species
UACAGAGGUCCCGAGCGUUGUUCGGAUUCACUGGGCGUAAAGCGUGCGCAGGCGGUUUUGUAAGUCAGAUGUGAAAUCCCCGGGCUUAACCUGGGAACUGCGCUUGUAACUGGCAAGCUGGAGUGUGGCAGAGGGGGGGUGGAAUUCCACGUGUAGCAGUGAAAUGCGUAGAGAUGUGGAGGAAUACCGAUGGCGAAGGCAGCCUCCUGGGCCAACACUGACGCUCAUGCACGAAAGCGUGGGGAGCAAACAGG